rnacentral:rRNA from 1 species
GGGUUGUGAGGUUAAGCGACUAAGCGUACACGGUGGAUGCCCUGGCAGUCAGAGGCGAUGAAGGGCGUGCUAAUCUGCGAUAAGCGCCGGUAAGGUGAUAUGAACCGUUAUAACCGGCGAUACCCGAAUGGGGAAACCCAGUGUGAUUCGUCACACUAUCAUUAACUGAAUCCAUAGGUUAAUGAGGCGAACCGGGGGAACUGAAACAUCUAAGUACCCCGAGGAAAAGAAAUCAACCGAGAUUCCCCCAGUAGCGGCGAGCGAACGGGGAGGAGCCCAGAGCCUGAAUCAGCAUGUGUGUUAGUGGAAGCGUCUGGAAAGGCGCGCGAUACAGGGUGACAGCCCCGUACACAAAAGCGUAUGUGCUGUGAGCUCGAUGAGUAGGGCGGGACACGUGGUAUCCUGUCUGAAUAUGGGGGGACCAUCCUCCAAGGCUAAAUACUCCUGACUGACCGAUAGUGAACCAGUACCGUGAGGGAAAGGCGAAAAGAACCCCGGCGAGGGGAGUGAAAAAGAACCUGAAACCGUGUACGUACAAGCAGUGGGAGCACCC